rnacentral:lncRNA from 1 species
UUGAUUUCCUUUGUUCUCUCGUUUCCUAGUGUAGCCUUGCGUAGAGUCGAGUCCUACUUCUUGUAAAUGCUGUUGUUUUAUGCAGACAUUUAAACCUUGAUAUUUGGAAAUCUUGCAGAGAAACCUUAACAAUUCUAGUGAUAUGUGAUGUUCCUUCUACAUUUGUAUCCUGUCAAACAAACUCUAACUGCAGCUGCAUUUCCUUAAAUUUCUGGAGUCGUAAUAAGCAAUUUGUGUAAUUUGCAAUGCUUUCUGAACUUUAGUCCCCUUAAUUUUCCUCGUAUGGCUCAGCUCGUACCACAAGUUCGUAUUUAGUUGCCAUGGUCGAGUCUGGAAUCUUGAACAAACAGGUGAGAUAAUUCUUUUCAUAACCGAAAAGAUCUCUCCUAUUAGCUGGCAAAUGAUUUAGUUCUCCAAUGUACUGUACUCCUACAAGAACCUUGUAAUGAACUCGCCAAGCGACAAUAUUUGGAAAUUUUUGUACGACUCGAGAAGGCUCUGUUAGAUUUACAUGUUAGUUCUCCAAGAUUUAUAGAUACAUAUCUGACUUCAGGGUUAAAGAAUUCAAGAUUUAGGCCAUAGCCUUGCGUAGAGUCGAGUCCUACUUCUUGUAAAUGCUGUUGUUUUAUGCAGACAUUUAAACCUUGAUAUUUGGAAAUCUUGCGGAGAAACCUUAACAAUUCUAGUGAUAUGUGAUGUUCCUUCUACAUUUGUAUCCUGUCAAACAAACUCUAACUGCAGCUGCAUUUCCUUAAAUUUCUGGAGUCGUAAUAAGCAAUUUGUGUAAUUUGCAAUGCUUUCUGAACUUUAGUCCCCUUAAUUUUCCUCGUAUGGCUCAGCUCGUACCACAAGUUCGUAUUUAGUUGCCAUGGUCGAGUCUGGAAUCUUGAACAAACAGGUGAGAUAAUUCUUUUCAUAACCGAAAAGAUCUCUCCUAUUAGCUGGCAAAUGAUUUAGUUCUCCAAUGUACUGUACUCCUACAAGAACCUUGUAAUGAACUCGCCAAGCGACGAUAUUUGGAAAUUUUUGUACGACUCGAGAAGGCUCUGUUAGAUUUACAUGUUAGUUCUCCAAGAUUUAUAGAUACAUAUCUGACUUCAGGGUUAAAGAAUUCAAGAUUUAGGCCAUUGAUAUUGCGAUGAUAGUUAAAAUAGUUAAUCUGAACUGUUCGAUAUCUUCCAUGAAGAAUUUGGCUCCUUAUAUGUGAGACUUGCAGCUGAAUAAUCCCUACCUUUUGCAGACAUUAGAAUGUUAUCAAAAUGUGAGCUGAAAUUUCGAUAUUCC